rnacentral:lncRNA from 1 species
GGACGGAUAUGGUGGAGGGAUUUCUGGUAGAGGCAGAGUGGUACCACAGAGGAUACAAACCAAGUCUAGAAGAGUAUCUGGACAACGGAUGGAUGUCAAGCGGAAACGGUGUUGCACUAACCCAUGCAUUUUUCGGAGUAACAACUUCUCUUACAAAGGAGAUUAUCCACAGUUUUUACGGAUACCACGAAAUAGUCCGUUUGUCAUCAAUGAUUCUGCGG